UGAAUGACUUGGAAGAGAACUGUAGAGACACUGGAGAGUAUGAGCCCCGGAAAGUCUUUCCAUAGUGAGAGGGGAUCCAGGACACAAGUGGCAAGGUCCAAGAGGCCCUGGCAUCCUGGGUGGAAAGGGAAAUAUUAAUAAAUGUGAUGACGCGAAACAUUACAGUUGUCUUCUGGUUGCUUCUGCUUCCGUAAUAAAAGGAGAGAUGGGUUUGUUUUUGCCAGUUUCUGUGAGCCUUGGACUGAAACCUUUUCCUAAUUGUAACAUCCUUCACUUUAUCCAGAAGCUGAGCUAGAAGAGCCCAGUUGUCAGGGCUUCUGGAGGUCAACUGGAUGGGGAGAUGUGCCGUGCCCCAACUCUGGCUGAGAACUCACCCAAACUGCACAACUACAGGAUACAGGCAGUGGAAGAACGGCAGACAGAAUUCAGAAUCAGGCCACAAGAACCAGUCAAGUUGUUUAAGCAGUGACGCUUGGGUAUAGGAAGUCUGAAAUCCAUGUGAUUUUUGCUUCUCUGGUGUGAAGACAGCUUGGCAAGAGAUCCUGAUGCAAAAAUGUGACCUUUUAAAACUGAAAUUCAUCUAGAAUUUUCUUCUGGAGAUGAAGAAGUCCUAUGCAACCUGUAACAGCCGCCCCCAGCUCAUUGUUGCAGAAGCUGCGAGUCUGUAUUCGGAGACCAGAUCCAGUGCUGAAGAAGCAAUCACAGGCAUCUCCACAGCUUGACCAUGCUGCUGUCAGCCAGGAGAGGAUGGCGGCCAGGUCCUGCUUUCCCUCAAACCAUACCAUUUGCUUUUAAAUGAAUACAUUUGUUGUAUUUUAGCCCAUUUGGCUGAAUUGUAUUAAAAACAAAUUUAUCUUUCAAACCUUUUACCCUUUAAGAAAUGGAAAUUCAACUAUUUAAUCUAGUCCAUAGGUAAAAUAAUAUAUGGUCUGAUACAUUUGUG